rnacentral:sRNA from 1 species
CGCGUGGUGUCCGGUGCGCCCC